UACAAUGCCAGUGCACACUUUUAUUACCAUGAAGACAGAAGUGAAUGAGUGGCAAUUACUACAGUUCAUAUAUGCUUUAGCACAUCCAGUUAACCAGCCCAGGAUCAAAGGUUGCACAGAGAGACCCAAGGUGACAGUGGUGACAGUUGAGAUGCAGUGCAACAGCCCGUAUGGUCAGUGGGAGCAAUCCUGCAGGUGCUUCCCUCCUGCCUUUCCUGCUGAAGAUUGCAGGGAGAAGCUUAAAUAGCUCAUAGCAAUACAUUUAAUUCCUGCCAACAGCUACUAAACCAGUGCUGUUUUCUUCAGCUUUACAAUUAAAAGAAUAGUAACUGGCCAGAAACUGGCACUCCAGAUUCACCCCUGUUGGGCUCUUCCACAGACCAUUGCUCUUUGGGUUUCUUCAGAAAUCCCCCUGUGAGCCUGGGGAAGAUACUCGCAGAGUAUUCUCCUUGCAAAUGCUUCAUCAGUGAAGCAAUCUCCUUUUCUUGUUUUUUACCAUGCUCAGGCACCAUAAAGUCUUGUAAGAACAUCAUGUACUUUUCAGAAAGUUAUUCCACUACUGUGAAAGAUUUUUCUUUGUUUAAAUGUGUCAUUAAAAACACUAAAAUGUGACACCAGCUUAAGAUCAAGUAAGAAAAAUGAGACCGAUUAAAACAAGGUAUUUAAAACAAAACCCAACACAACUCUUUCUCUUAUUUAAAAAGGGAAAACUAGGUGUUAAGUUACCAAGGAGUUCACAAGUACAAAAAUAUUUACCUUUUAGAAAUACCCAAGCCUCCAGUCAUACAAAAUAAGUAUCAACUUAACAUAAAAAUCUUCAUAAACAUAUGACCACCUCUGUUUAACCAAGUGCUCAAACCUGUCCCACGGUGAUACAAAGGCUUUGCUGACAAAUUUAGUUAUGUCUAAACAGCUAUUCUAUAGAUUAACUUUGUAGUAAGUAAAAACAAGAGAUACUGCUCAAAAACAAAGUAAAAACAAAGUAAAAACUAAGUAAAAACAAGAGAUACUGCUCAAAACCAAGAAAUACUGCUGAUAUUAGAGAAAUUCCACCUUGGGAAGGGAUGAGAACAUCAGGGGUCACAGGAUAAUGGUUGCCUCAUGUUACAUUUAUGGCAGAAGCCUAAGUGCAGCAAAUUAAUGUGAAAGUAAAUGGUAUUUCUGCAUCCCAAAGAGCAGCCUGAAAUAAUUGCACAAGUUCCUUGCACUUACAUGUUAUAAAGCUUUCUAUUUGUGCUUGAACUUGGAGGGAAAGCCUCCUUCCUGUGCCCAGUGCCAGCACGAGACCAACUUGCCACAGACUCUGCCAUUAGAGGUGAGACAGAAUGCUUCUGUUGGCCCUUACAGAAGGCAAAUCAUGGCUAAUUGAUAUUUAUAGUGGAUAAAAAUCAGUCUACAAGGUCUGACUGACUUUAUGUCGCCAAGAAGUGUCUGCACAGCCAAUAAAUAGGAAAAUAAAAGGUAUUCUACUAUGUAGUGUUCAUAAAACAGUAGUAGCACAACUCUGAGCUCUAAAUUUGUUUUCAUCC
rnacentral:lncRNA from 1 species